UGCACCAGCACACUUCACACCACUCUCCAGCACUUGGAACACACGGACACACCACUACACAUCUACAGGCUACAGCAGUGACCAGUCUACAGAGGGAAACAAUCUCAUCUCUCAUGUAGAGACACAGCCAUACCAUACAGCCGCUAGUCUGCCACCAACGAAGGAGACACAGGGACAGACAGACAAUCACCAAUAAGCCAGACAUGCACCACAGUCCACAGCUCACUGUUGUGUUGCUUAAGACUUGGAAGUGGAAGUAACCUCAGUUCUUUUUC
rnacentral:lncRNA from 7 species